UACGGGGGGGGCAAGCGUUGUUCGGAAUUACUGGGCGUAAAGGGCUCGUAGGCGGCCAACUAAGUCAGCCGUGAAAUCCCUCGGCUUAACCGGGGAACUGCAUCUGAUACGGGAUGGCUUGAGAUUGGGAGAGGGAUGCGGAAUUCCAGGUGUAGCGGUGAAAUGCGUAGAUAUCUGGAGGAACACCGGUGGCGAAGGCGGCAUCCUGGACCAGCACUGACGCUGAGGAGCGAAAGCCAGGGGAGCAAACGGG
rnacentral:rRNA from 1 species